rnacentral:tRNA from 1 species
GCCUUCGUGGUGUAAUGGUCAGCACACUGAGCCGGUAUUUCAGAGGUCCGUGGUUCGAUUCCCAGCAAAGGAA